AUUGAACGCUGGCGGCAUGCCUUACACAUGCAAGUCGAACGGUAACAGGUCUUCGGAUGCUGACGAGUGGCGAACGGGUGAGUAAUACAUCGGAACGGGCCUAGUCGUGGGGGAUAACUACUCGAAAGAGUGGCUAAUACCGCAUGACAUCUACGGAUGAACUCACUGGAUCGCAAGACCUCGUGCUACUAGAGCGGCCGGUGGCAGAUUAGGUAGGUGGUGGGAUAAAAGCUUCCCAAGCCGACGAUCUGUAGCUGGUCUGAGAGGACGAUCAGCCACACUGGGACUGAGACACGGCCCAGACUCCUACGGGAGGCAGCAGUGGGGAAUUUUGGACAAUGGGCGAAAGCCUGAUCCAGCAAUGCCGCGUGCAGGAUGAAGGCCUUCGGGUUGUAAACUGCUUUUGUACGGAACGAAAAGCCCUGGGUUAAUACCCUGGGGUCAUGACGGUACCGUAAGAAUAAGCACCGGCUAACUACGUGCCAGCCGCCGCCGUAAUAC
rnacentral:rRNA from 1 species